rnacentral:lncRNA from 1 species
AUGACAUUCAUUUAUCACCUUAUAUUUUUAAAGUAGCUUAAUUGUGAUCUUAAUGAUUAGUUUAUUUUACAGUGGAGAUUAUUGAUAUGAAUGCAGAUUUUCUGGUAUGUAUCUGUUUUUUAGCUAUGAAGGUGCCACCUUAUCAGAGACCUCCCAUUUGCCUUUUCAUUAGGGUAAAAUCUUUACCCUGAUUUACUAAAGUGCAAAAGAAUUAUUUAGAAGCAAUUAUUUUAAUUUUAUGCUACGGAUACAUUUAAUCAUUUUAGUAUAUAAAUUUUUGCCCUGUUGCAGGUAUAAUUAUUUCCCUUUCCUUCAUAAUGAAUAAGUUUUCUCACCUUUGAAUAACAGUGAAGUUUGUUUUUAUGUCUAUACCAAGUUCUUUUGGUAUAGUCCAGAUGAUUUUAUAGGGACCUGGGUCUAUAGCAGUCAACUGACCUACAAAUCUUUCCUUCUUUUAUUGAUAGAAAAAUACCAUUGAAAUGUUAUUCUUUUUUUAAAUCCUAAUUAAUUGUUUCGUUUCUUUAAUAAUUAUUUUAGUUUAAUUAUCCUAAUAAACAAUGAUUUGAUUUAUUCUUGUCUAACUUGAAACUAUCUUGUGCUUUCUGUUUGUUUAG